AAUGAAAUGGCUGAGAGCAAGCGAUAAAUUGUAAAUUUAUUUACGAAAAAUUUUCUUUCAUUA
rnacentral:tRNA from 1 species